GCGGACGGGUGAGUAACGCGUGGGUAACCUGCCUUGCACUGGGGGAUAACACUUAGAAAUAGGUGCUAAUACCGCAUAAGCGCACAAUACCGCAUGGUAAAGUGUGAAAAACUCCGGUGGUGCAAGAUGGACCCGCGUCUGAUUAGCCAGUUGGCGGGGUAACGGCCCACCAAAGCGACGAUCAGUAGCCGGCCUGAGAGGGUGAACGGCCACAUUGGGACUGAGACACGGCCCAAACUCCUACGGGAGGCAGCAGUGGGGAAUAUUGCACAAUGGGGGAAACCCUGAUGCAGCAACGCCGCGUGAGUGAAGAAGUCAUUCGUGAUGUAAAGCUCUAUCAGCAGGGAAGAAAAUGACGGUACCUGACUAAGAAGCCCCGGCUAACUACGUGCCAGCAGCCGCGGUAAUACGUAGGGGGCAAGCGUUAUCCGGAUUUACUGGGUGUAAAGGGAGCGUAGACGGCGAGACAAGUCUGAAGUGAAAUGCCAGUGCUCAACACUGGAACUGCUUUGGAAACUGCCUGGCUGGAGUGCGGGAGAGGUAAGUGGAAUUCCUAGUGUAGCGGUGAAAUGCGUAGAUAUUAGGAGGAACACCAUUGGCGAAGGCGGCUUACUGGACCGUAACUGACGUUGAGGCUCGA
rnacentral:rRNA from 1 species